UAAGUCAGUGAUUUGUAAAACUGAAAGGAUGUAUUCCAUGAAACGUCUAAGCAGCAAAUUCAAUUUAUUAGUUAAAUUUAUUUUCAUUUAAUUAAUCUAAAUGGGACAUAAUUGUUUAUGACUCCUUACUUUUUUUUGACAAAUGUGUAAGUUCUUGUUUGAUUAAGACCUGUGGUACAGUACAGGAUACCUCUUUGCUUAUACUGCUUUUGCUGAAGAUUUUAGGAAAGAUGUUGUUUUUAGAAACUUUACCAGACUUCUAUUUUUUAAAGCAUUAAGGUUUUUGCUGUUUUCAUGCCUCAUUCACGAAUGUUUCCUCAAAAUCUAAUGGUUCAUUUUUGGCACACCAUUAAAAUGGUGCCAAACAUCAAGUAUGUUGUCCUGUUAUAUAAUUGAGUAGAGCGUAAUGCAGGAAAAAAUCAUAACAGAGGAAAUGUAUCAAGCUUAGGAAUAUUUUCUCAGUUUCUUCAUUUUUGUGGGAAGCUGAAUCUUGAUAAUCUUUGUAGCUAAAUGCAUCUGUGUUAAACAUUUAAAAUAGGUAGUACUCACGGGAAAACUGAUUGGAGCUUAGAACUUGUACAAAUUGACAGCCUCUCUUCACUCCAUUUUUCAUCCUAAAGAAGUCUGCAAAUAUUCUUAGCUCACAUCAUUAUUGCUCAUCAGUGAUUCUAAUUAGCUAAACAGGAGUUUGUCUCAGUCAUUGAUCAUCAUCAGCUUCUUGACAGUGCCUGAAUUUUUUCCCCCCCAUAUUCCAAUGGACUUUUAAAAAUACAUUUUAAAUACAAAAUAGCUUAAUGAAUGAAGUUGUUUGAAGACUAUUUUUUUCUCUGUAUUUGUUAUCCUUUUAAAACAGAAGAGUUGAUUACUGCAAUUCCUAUCAAGUUCCAUUAUAAGGUGUGACAGCAGAUCCAAUUAUGAUAUCAGUUGGAUGCUCCUGGAGACGUACUGAGAAUGUGAGGAAAGGUUGCAACAACAGACACCUUCGAAGUCCUGGCACCUAUGUCUAUGGGCUAAGAGGAAGAAAUCAAUGGCUGCUUGGUUUUGCAGAAUGGCAUGCCUGGUCGUGUCUUGAAGAUCACUGAGGAUUUUUGAUGUUGUGUUGACCUGCUUAUUGAGCCAGCACCCCAG